CCCCGCUGAACUUAAGCAUAUCAAUAAGCGGAGGAAAAGAAACCAACAGGGAUUGCCCUAGUAACGGCGAGUGNAAGCGGCAAUAGCUCAAAUUUGAAAUCUGGCUCCCUAUGGGGGUCCGAGUUGUAAUUUGCAGAGGGUGCUUUGGUGUUGGCGGCGGUCUAAGUUCCUUGGAACAGGACAUCGCAGAGGGUGAGAAUCCCGUUUGUGGUCGCUUGCCUUCGCCGUGUAAAGCCCCUUCGACGAGUCGAGUUGUUUGGGAAUGCAGCUCUAAAUGGGAGGUAAAUUUCUUCUAAAGCUAAAUACUGGCCAGAGACCGAUAGCGCACAAGUAGAGUGAUCGAAAGAUGAAAAGCACUUUGGAAAGAGAGUCAAACAGCACGUGAAAUUGUUAAAAGGGAAGCGCUUGCAGCCAGACUUGCCCGUAGUUGCUCACCCAGGCUUUUGCCCGGGGCAUUCUUCUGCGGGCAGGCCAGCAUCAGUUUGGGCGGUCGGAUAAAGGCCUCUGUCACGUACCUCCCUUCGGGGAGGACUUAUAGGGGAGGYGUAAUGCGACCAGCCCGGACUGAGGUCCGCGCUUCGGCUAGGAUGCUGGCGUAAUGGCUGUAAGCGGCCCGUCUUGAAACACGGACCAAGGAGUCUAACAUCUAUGCGAGUGUUUGGGUGUCAAGCCCGAGCGCGUAAUGAAAGUGAACGGAGGUGGGAACCCUUUGGGUGCACCAUCGACCGAUCCUGAUGUCUUCGGAUGGAUUUGAGUAAGAGCAUAGCUGUUGGGACCCGAAAGAUGGUGAACUAUGCUUGAAUAGGGUGAAGCCAGAGGAAACUCUGGUGGAGGCUCGCAGCGGUUCUGACGUGCAAAUCGAUCGUCAAAUUUGGGCAUAGGGGCGGUACGUACAACCCUUUUUUAAACUUCGAAUUGGACAUUUUACUAACAUUUAUUAUAGAAAGACUAAUCGAACUAUCUAGUAGCUGGGUUCCUGCCGAAGUUUCCCUCAGGAAAUUU
rnacentral:rRNA from 1 species